rnacentral:rRNA from 1 species
GAUGAACGCUGGCGGCGUGCUUAACACAUGCAAGUCGAACGAUGAAAGCGGGAGCUUGCUCCUGCUGGAUUAGUGGCGAACGGGUGAGUAACACGUGAGCAAUCUGCCCCGAACUCUGGGAUAAGCGUUGGAAACGACGUCUAAUACCGGAUACGACGCGCGAAGACAUCUUCUGCGCGUGGAAAGAACUUCGGUUCGGGAUGAGCUCGCGGCCUAUCAGCUAGUUGGUGAGGUAACGGUCCACCAAGGCGACGACGGGUAGCCGGCCUGAGAGGGUGACCGGCCACACUGGGACUGAGACACGGCCCAGACUCCUACGGGAGGCAGCAGUGGGGAAUAUUGCACAAUGGGCGCAAGCCUGAUGCAGCAACGCCGCGUGAGGGACGACGGCCUUCGGGUUGUAAACCUCUUUUAGUAGGGAAGAAGCGAAAGUGACGGUACCUGCAGAAAAAGCACCGGCUAACUACGUGCCAGCCGCCGCCGUAAAAC